rnacentral:rRNA from 1 species
GAUGAACGCUAGCGGCAGGCUUAACACAUGCAAGUCGAGGGGCAGCACGUCUUCGGAUGGUGGCGACCGGCGCACGGGUGCGUAACGCGUAUACAACCUACCUUAUAGAGGGGAAUAGCCCAGAGAAAUUUGGAUUAAUGCCCCAUAGUAUUAUUGAAUAGCAUUAUUUAAUGAUUAAACAUUUAUGGCUAUAAGAUGGGUAUGCGUUCUAUUAGCUAGAUGGUAAGGUAACGGCUUACCAUGGCGACGAUAGAUAGGGGUCCUGAGAGGGAGAUCCCCCACACUGGUACUGAGACACGGACCAGACUCCUACGGGAGGCAGCAGUGAGGAAUAUUGGACAAUGGGCGAGAGCCUGAUCCAGCCAUGCCGCGUGCAGGAAGACGGCCCUAUGGGUUGUAAACUGCUUUUUANACGGGAAGAAACACUCCUUCGUGAAGGAGCUUGACGGUACCGUAAGAAUAAGGAUCGGCUAACUCCGUGCCAGCAGCCGCGGUAAA